CGACUGUCUAAUUAAAACAAAGCAUUGCGAUGGCCCUCGCGGGUGAUGACGCAAUGUGAUUUCUGCCCAGUGCUCUGAAUGUCAACGUGAAGAAAUUCAAACAAACGCGGGUAAACGGCGGGAGUAACUAUGAUUCUCUUAAGGCGUGUGCUCCCCCGACUUCGGCUUGCCGUGGUCUGGGGCUCACUGCGUUGAGUGGAGUCAUGGUUACAUGGUGACCCUGGUUCCUCGCACCCCCGCUAGAAACUAUCUGGGGAGGCCAUGAUUGGGUAACGA
rnacentral:ncRNA from 1 species